UACAGAGGUCUCAACCGUUGUUCGGAUUCAUUGGGCGUAAAGGGUGCGUAGGCGGCGGGGUAAGUCAGGUGUGAAAUCUCGGGGCUCAACCCCGAAACUGCACUUGAUACUGCCUCGCUUGAGUACUGGAGAGGAGACUGGAAUUUACGGUGUAGCAGUGAAAUGCGUAGAUAUCGUAAGGAAGACCAGUGGCGAAGGCGGGUCUCUGGACAGUUCCUGACGCUGAGGCACGAAGGCCAGGGGAGCAAACGGG
rnacentral:rRNA from 1 species